rnacentral:rRNA from 1 species
UACAGAGGUCCCGAGCGUUGUUCGGAUUCAUUGGGCGUAAAGGGUGCGUAGGCGGUCUUCUAAGUUUGAUGUGAAAUCCCGGGGCUCAACCCUGGAAUUGCAUUGAAUACUGGAGGACUCGAGUCCCGGAGAGGAAACUGGAAUUCUCGGUGUAGUGGUGAAAUGCGUAGAUAUCGGGAGGAACACCAGAGGCGAAGGCGGCUUUCUGGCUGCUAACUGACGCUGAGGCGCGAAGGCUGGGGUAGCGAACAGG